GGGGGUCCCCUGAGAGGUGGGUGUUGAACAGCUCCCCAAAUGCUCUCUGGUCAACCGGCUUCCUCAGUCGAAGACACAGGUCCCUUCAAUACUGGCUUCUGGGGAGAAGAUGAGUGCAGAAACCACAGCUGCAUUAAACGCGUGCGUCGCAAGUUCCUGUGACUGUUUUGGAACCCAGAACAGAAUGUGUAGCUCACAGGC
rnacentral:lncRNA from 1 species